UUUAAAAACUAAUUCGAACCAAUAGACUUGACCGGUACGGCCGUGAUCUAGUUUAUAAAGCGGUUUGGUUUAACCCUUUGAACCGACUAAGUUAAAAAAUUAUUUUGAACCAUUCAAACUAGCAGUUCAAUCACUAAAUUUGACUAGCGUUAAUCAAAUCGGCAGAAUUUUUAUGAUUAAGUUAUAUUAAAAUUCAAAAGCUUAAAAUCAACUUACUAAUUUUAUUUUAUAUUAAAACACAUUAGUUUUACAAAAAAUAAAAAUUGAAAAUUUAUAUAUACUU
rnacentral:lncRNA from 1 species